CGGGGUCUAGAGGCGCGCACGGGCGGAGCGCGCAGAGCGCGGCGCGGCGGCUUGAGGGGCCGUUCCUGGCCGCUGGGAGCGCGGCCCUGCCGUGGGCUGGGGUGACUCUUCACGGAGAUCCCGUCCCCGGAGGAACUGUGGAGAGCACGGGGCUGCCGUGAUGAACGGCGACACGGGAGUCACAGCGGGGAAUGAAUGAUUCUGUUUUGUAUUUUGAUGUGCAAUAAAAAAAUGAAAUUAUUAAAA